GAUGAAGAACGUAGCAAAAUGCGAUAAGUAAUGUGAAUUGCAGAAUUCAGUGAAUCAUCGAAUCUUUGAACGCACAUUGCGCCCGCUGGUAUUCCGGCGGGCAUGUCUGUUCGAGCGUCAUUUCAACCCUCAAGCCCCCGGGUUUGGUGUUGGGGAUCGGCUCUGCCCUUCUGGGCGGUGCCGCCCCCGAAAUACAUUGGCGGUCUCGCUGCAGCCUCCAUUGCGUAGUAGCUAACACCUCGCAACUGGAACGCGGCGCGGCCAUGCCGUAAAACCCCAACUUCUGAAUGUUGACCUCGGAUCAGGUAGGAAUACCCGCUGAACUUAAGCAUAUCAAUAAGCGGAGA
rnacentral:misc_RNA from 1 species